rnacentral:rRNA from 1 species
GACGAACCGUGCGAACGUUGUUCGGAUUCACUGGGCUUAAAGGGCGCGUAGGCGGGUGAUCAAGUCCGGGGUGAAAUCCUUCAGCUCAACUGGAGAAUAGCCUUGGAUACUGGUCGCCUCGAGGGAGGUAGGGGCGGGCGGAACUUCCGGUGGAGCGGUGAAAUGCGUAGAUAUCGGGAAGAACACCCGUGGCGAAGGCGGCUCUCUGGAACGCAACUGACGCUGAGACGCGAAAGCGUGGGGAGCAAACAGG